rnacentral:lncRNA from 1 species
GGAGAAAUCAGAUGCUGACAUUAUAUUUGAGCCCCUGAAUCCAGCUGUGCCCAAACCGGAUUUUUCAGUAACAUGAACUAAUAAAGUCCCCUUGUCACUGAAGCCUGUUUGAGUUGGGUCCUGUCUUUUAAAACAGAAGGUGUUCAAAUGAGCCCACCAUGGAUGUGACUUCAUUUACUCAACACCCCUUGAGCUCCAAGUCAAGGAUUACACUAUUUUUUAGAUCAAGUCACUGAGAGCCAGAGACCUCGCACCAUUGACUGAGUCAAGACCAGGGUUGAGCUCUCACGAUUCCGAAUCUGAUGUGCUCUUCCAUGAUACCCUACUGUCUUUGUGAGCAAGCUUGGCAGAUGGCUGGCUGAGCCCUAUCCUGAGAGCCUCCGAAAGUCAGGGUGGAGGGUGCCACGAUGUCCACAUGGGUAAAAAGUGCCUUCAAGACAGCAGCAGGACCAAGGUGGAACAGAUGUGUGCCCUCUCCCAUCCAAGGUGAUGUGGCAAGUAACUGGUGGUUUCUCUGUCCCCUUAUGCUGAUCUAGAAGAUUUAGCCUGGCUAGCAGGCAGCCUAGAAGCUCUAAAAAUACAAAUAUCAAUACAAAUGGCAUAACCCAUGCAUAGCUUAUGAGCAUCAUCAUACCAUCCUUUGCCUGCCACUGAGUCCUGCCAACUACAAGUUCCUUUCUUUGAUCCCAAUGUUCUCCCCCUUUCUGAGGAUCCCACUGACCUAUAGAUUCAAUCAGCAAAGACUUAUCAUGUGCUUACUCCAGAAGAAGCACUGUGUUAGCUGAUCAGGGACACAAAAAGGAAGCUGUCAACAUUUGCCUAUUUGACAGGUCUGAGCAAGGCAUUUUUCAGGUGCUUGUGGAUGCUGCAAUGAAUUAAGAGUGUCUUGUCCUUAUGGUGGCUACAGUCUGGUGGAGGUUACAAGAUAUUGGCUGUGGAUAAUAAUUGCUCUUUGGACACUCAGCUUCCCCUAAUAAUAGCUCCUGAUUCCUUUCAGAGAAUGACCUCUUGGCAUUCUUGGCUGGACCGUAAAUCCAGCGGCCCUGAGUGUCUCUAGCAGAAUUAAUAGCAAGGCUAUAGAAGACUUUCCCUCUGCCAGUCACUAUCACAGCUUUACCCAGUUUGUUCUCAUCAGUCCCCGUGGACAGGGUCCCCAUGUGCAGAAGGGGAGGCUGGAGCAUUGCAAAAGGGACAAGCUUAAGGUCACCCGGCUAGUAAGUGGCAGAAGCCUGAAUUCAAACCCAUGCUCUCUGGCUCCAGAGACUCGCUCUUCCCACCAGUCUAAACUGCCUUGCAAAGGCAGUGAGCUUGUGUUGUGUGAACAUGGGUUCCAUUCCAGCCAGGGCCAGUUAUUCUUUCUCUCCUGAAAAUCAGAGUCAUGAGGACGGUAACAGAAAAAUAGGCGACACUGUUGCUGUGGAUUUGUUUCAUUGCCAAUGUUCCGGUAAGAAGAUGGCACAUCUCCCUCUUUGCUGAGGUCCUGGAGCUUUCCUCCUCGUCCCUCCUUGCAGUCUGAUUCUUCACUGUUCAUGAUAAACCCCAUAAUCCCUCCAGCAAAUUCCCUUUGGGCAUUAGUUGGUCAGAGUCAGUUUCAGUUGCAUGCCACAAGGAGCCCUAACAGACAAAGAAAUUUCCGCAAUUACCCCCAAGACCUGGUGUGGACGAAGGGCUUGGGGCUUCAUAGCUGUGCUAUUGUUUGUGAACGCCAAAGGAGGUUUGGGGCUGCGGAAGGUAUUCACGCAAAGGCGGAGCGAGCUCAAGGGAUGGAGGGACACAGGAGGCAAAUCAAAAAUGUCAAGAGUCCUAGGGUGCCUAUUUUCAUCUCAAUCACUGAGGAAAAAAUUGGUUUGGGCUCCUCUCCAGCAUUUCCUCCUUCUCCCCUUGCAUGUGAAGAUUGAAUGUUUGCAGGAAGCAGACCACCAGCGGUGUCUCACACGGGCUUCAGACAGACAUCAAAGUUAAUCCGCUCUCUGAUCUAAGCAAAAUGUGAUGAGGGUUUCCUGGGACAGCAGCUCUACUAAUUGUGGCACUGCAGCCCAGCUGAUGUAUUUUUAGACUAUUGUGGAGUCCCAAGAACUAUCAUUACCUUCUGCUGGAAAAUAGACUCCAAGCUUGGGGCGAGUGAAAUCUAAGACAGGACCCUCUGGACCUGCACCUUGGAGAUGAUGAGAGUAAGCUGGGGAAAUGCUUUCCUAUUUGGGGGGCCUCUGUGACUCUUUGAGUCUCUACCCUUCUUUCUCUAUAUUUCUAAUUCAGAUCACUUGCCAAGUUUUUCUUCUUUCAUCUGUUCUUUACAUCUAAGUGAUUUCUCCAAAUGUCCAUCUUGGCUCAUCUCUUGCCACGCUAUCCAUCCUACAAUUUAAACUAAUAGAUAUAUUCAUGACUUCCAGGAGUUUAGACCCAGGCUUUCUGCUAAACUCCAGCCUCAUGUGCUUGAUGGUCAUCUCCAAGUUCAAGUGCACUUGCUCCUCCUCUCUCCCCUUCCCUUUCAUGGCCACUAGCUUGGCUUGAGGCUUGCCUGCUCACCUUGACUGUGGCUGCCCAACCUGUCUGGUAUGGACAGCCUCUUUGGUCACUGGCUAUCUCACUCAUGGGACAACCAAAGUGAUCUCUCUGAAUCCUUAGGUCUGAUCAACACCGCCCUUUUCCAGAGCCUUCCGUGUCUGCCUAAACUAGGAAUUAUUCAUCUUGGACUCCAGGUUCUGGUCAGCAGCCCAUCAAAGGCCACUGCUGCAGCCAUGUGCUUCUGCUGAGUUAAAGAGCAGCCUUGAUAGCCAUGCUCUGCCCAUGGCCGUGGCUGAUUGAAUCAGCAUGGACAUAAGACCCAGAAGGGAGUCAAAGCUCCAAGUCUCUGCCUAAGUGGGGAAUGGGCCAACCCAGUCAGACUCUGCCUCUGGGAUUUCAGCUGGAAAGGCAGGCAGAGUUGGGAGCUCGGCAGAGGGAGCGGAAGUUGGGCAGAUGCACAGGGGGAGGUGGUAGCAGCUUGAGGGGAGCUGUGAGUAAGCCACGGUGACGAGUCAGCAGAAGCUGUGAGAGAAAAGCUGGGCUGAAUAGAUGGGAAGGGAAUUGCCUGGGAAGAGCAGGAAGCAGGGAAUGAUGCAGAAGAGUGAAAAAUCAAGAUCCCCAAAUCCCUGCUGCUGAGAAGUAAUGAGAUGCCUUAAGCCCGGGGACUGCUUGGGAUUCAUGUACUUACUCAUUGAUUUCACCAGCUGUAUGGAGUACUGGUUAUAUGCCAGACACUAUUCUGCACAUUAGACUAAGUCCUCACCCGCAUAGUGCUUGUGUUCUAACUGGGGAGGUAAAUAAUAAAUAAACAAAAAAUAAAUGGGGACAGUUUAGCAAUUUCUUUUUUAAAACUUUUUUUUAAUUAAAGUAUUGUUGAUUUACAAUGGUCUGUCAAUUUCCACUGUACAGCAAAGUGACUCAGUCGUAUAUACCUACUUUUUCUCAUAUUAUCUUCCAUCACGUUCUAUCACAAGUGAUUGGAUGUAGUCCCCCGUGCUAUACAGCAAGACAUCAUUGCUUAUCCGUUCUAAAUGUGAUAGUUUGCAUCUACCAACCCCAAACUCCCUGUGCAUCCCACUCCCGCUUCCUCUCCUUGGCAACUGCAAGUCUGUCCUCUAUGUCUGUGAGUCUGUUUCUGUUUUGUAGAUAGGUUCGUUUGUGCCAUAUUUUAGAUUCCACAUAUAAGUGAUAUCAUAUGGUAUUUGCCUUUCUCUUUCUGACUUACUUCAUUUAGUAUGAGAAUCUCUAGUUGUACCCAUGUUGCUGUAAAUGGCAUUAUUUUGUUCUUUUUAUGGCUGAGUAGUAUUCCACUGUGUAUAUGUACCAUAUCUUAAUCCAUUCAUCUGAGUUCUCAUUGUGGCUCAGCAGGUUAAGGACCCAGUGUUGUCUCUGUGACGAUGUGGGUUCAAUCCCUGGCCUCACUCAGUAGUUAAGGAUCCGGCGUUGUCAGAAACUGUGGUGUAGUUCGCAGAUGCAGCCCAGACCUGGUGUUGCUGUGGCCAUGGCAUAAGUCUCAGCUGCAGAUCUGAUUCAACCCCUAGCCUGGAAACUUCCAUAUGCCACAAGCACAGCUGUAAAAAGAAAAAACAAAACAAAACAAAAACCUGCACAUGAAUGUUUGUAGCAGCUUUGUUCAUUAUUGCUAAAACUUGGAAGCAACCACUAUGUCCUUCAGCAGGUGAAUGGGUAAAAAAACUGUGGUACAACGGGGCAAUGGAAUAUUAUUUGGUGCUAAAAUGAAUGAGCUCUCAAGCCAUGAAAAGACAUGGAGGAAACUUAAGUGCAUUUUACUAAGUGAAUGAAGCCAGUCUGAAGUCUACAUAUUAUAUGAUUCCAACAACAUGACUUUCUGGAAAAGGUAAAACUCUGGAGAAGGUAAAAGAAUCGGGGUUUCCCAGGGGUUAGGGCACCGGGAGGGAUGAGUAGGUAGAACCCAGAGGGUUUUAAGGGCAGUGAAAAUACUUUGUAUGAUAUCGUAAUAAUGGAUUCCUGUCAUUAUACAUGUGUCCCAGCCCACAGAAUACACAACACCAAGACUGAACCAUAAGGUAAACCAUGGACUUUGGAUGAUAAUGAUGUGUCAAUACAGGUUUACGGUGUGUAGCACACACACCACGCCAGGGGAGGAGGACGUUGAUAGUGGGGAGGCUGUAGGUACAUGGGGGCAGAGGGAGCUUUGGAAACUCAAGUCUCUGCUCAAUUUUGCUGGGAACUAAAACAGCUUUAGAAAAUAAUGUCUAUUAAAAAAUCCCCCUUCCCCACCAAAAAAGUAGAAAAAAUUUAGUAAGUUCUGGCAUCAUGUUUUAAUUUCUCCAGAAGCCAUAGGAGGAAGAAAUGGAUUCUGGGCGAGGGGUGAGGGGUCGAGGUGGGGGUGGGUGGGAAAUCCAUGUCAUAACAAAAACCGGGAGGAGGGAUUACUCCAGAUGAAAAGAAACCCAAGGGUGAUCGUGGGAAAUCGUCUUACUUCAAUUCGUUAAACAUU